CUUCCAAACAAUCCUUAUGAGUGUUAAGGGAGAGAUGGUGAUUUCAUGGGAGACCUUGCAGAGUGAGGUACGUAUAGUCUCAUUAUACAGCAGAGUCUAGUCAAAAAUGUCAGGGAUAAGGGAGAGGUACAGCAACUAUCCUUUGGCUCAUCAUACAUAACUAAUAAAGCAGAAUUGGAGACUAGUUGUCACUGUUUGUUCACAUGCGGCCUAUUUCUGGUAAGUGCUGACUAUGGGCACCUGACAAUAACCCCAGGAAAGGCAGUGAAAACAGGCAUCUUCUUCUGGCUCUGCAGGCUGGAGUGGCUGUGAUGUUAACCCACUAUGACAUACCAAAGAGGAACAUCCCAAGACAUUCCUAAGACCUGCCAAGUUUCUCUCCAUCUCUCUCAUAUAUGUGUGUAUCUCUCAGCAAACAGCGACCUUGAUCCAUUUCUCAGGUUUGCAUCGAAAGCGAUUGCUGUCUCUAUACAAAAUGACCAGACUGAAUCAUGGUUCAGCACAUGUUGCGAAGAGAACUGCCUUGUACUUGUGAAUACAUCUGCCUGCAGGUGCAAGAGAUUUCCAACAGGAACAAGAGAAGAAAAAAAUGUGAAAAAAAGUCCACUUCAGAAAUGAUCAGCCGCUUGGGAUAUUAUACCAAUAGGCAUGUGUUGUGGAUUAACCCAGCAGGCAGCUAAGCACUGCAGAGCCAUUCACUCACUCACUCAUCCCCUCAUCCCCUCACACCUAGUGAGAUGGGGUAAAAAAUCAGAAGG
rnacentral:lncRNA from 1 species